rnacentral:tRNA from 1 species
GGGGGUGGGUAAUAGCUCAGUGGUAGAGUGUAUGCUUAGCAUGCAUGAGGUCCUGGGUUCAAUCCCCAGCACCUCCA